rnacentral:rRNA from 1 species
CGUGAACCGUUUUGUUUUGCUUUCGAGUGCUUUGUUGUGCUCGGAGCAUGUUUGGGCUUCGCUGCUGGCGCUUGAUUGUGCUGGCGGCUCGAGGCCACAAGCGGCGUUUUGAGUGUGUGUUCGCAUACAAUUAAAACGUCCAAACCUUUUAAACCCAUUUGAUUGAAAACUGAAGUAUACUGUGGGGACGAAAGUCCUCGCUUUGAAACUAGAUAACAACUUUCAGCAGUGGAUGUCUAGGCUCGCACAUCGAUGAAGAACGCUGCGAACUGCGAUACGUAAUGCGAAUUGCAGGAUUCAGUGAGUCAUCGAACUUUUGAACGCAUAUUGCACUUUCGGGUUACGCCUGGAAGUAUGUCUGUAUCAGUGUCCGUAC